CAUGCAAGUCGAACGGAAAGGCCCUUUCGGGGGUACUCGAGUGGCGAACGGGUGAGUAACACGUGGGUGAUCUGCCCUGCACUUUGGGAUAAGCCUGGGAAACUGGGUCUAAUACCGAAUACACCUUGCUGGUUGCAUGACUGGUGGGGGAAAGCUUUUGCGGUGUGGGAUGGGCCCGCGGCCUAUCAGCUUGUUGGUGGGGUGAUGGCCUACCAAGGCGACGACGGGUAGCCGGCCUGAGAGGGUGUCCAGCCACACUGGGACUGAAACACGGCCCAGACUCCUACGGGAGGCAGCAGUGGGGGAUAUUGCACAAUGGGCGAAAGCCUGAUCCAGCAACGCCGCGUGAGGGAUGACGGCCUUCGGGUUGUAAACCUCUUUCAGCAGGGACGAAGCGCAAGUGACGGUACCUGCAGAAGAAGCACCGGCCAACUACGUGCCAGCAGCCGCGGUAAUACGUAGGGUCCGAGCGUUGUCCGGAAUUAUUGGGCGUAAAGGGCUCGUAGGCGGUUUGUCGCGUCGGGAGUGAAAACACGGGGCUUAACCCCGUGCCUGCUUCCGAUAGGGCAGACUAGAGGUAUGCAGGGGAGAACGGAAUUCCUGGUGUAGCGGUGAAGUGCGUAGAUAUCGGGAGGAACACCAGUGGCGAAGGCGACUAUCUGGGCUGCAACUGACGCUGAGGCGCGAAGGCUAGGGUAGCAAACAGGAUUAGAUACCCUGGUAGUCCUAGCAGUAAACGAUGGAUACUAGGUGUUGGG
rnacentral:rRNA from 1 species